UCCAUCAGAGAUGAUGCACUUGCCCUCACUGAGACCCUUGUUCUGUAAUGAGGACUUUUCUGAGUACCUAUUUGCUCUGAGCCGGA